AUUGAACGCUGGCGGCAGGCCUAACACAUGCAAGUCGAGCGGAAGGUUCUUCGGAACCGAGAGCGGCGGACGGGUGAGGAAAGCGUGGGAAUCUGCCUGUAGAUGGGGGAUAGCCCGGAGAAAUCCGGAUUAAUACCGCAUAAUACCUGAGGGUAAAGUGGAGGAUCGCAAGACUUCACGUCUACAGAUGAGCCCACGUCAGAUUAGCUAGUUGGUAGGGUAAAGGCCUACCAAGGCGACGAUCCGUAGCUGGUCUGAGAGGAUGAUCAGCCACACUGGAACUGAGACACGGUCCAGACUCCUACGGGAGGCAGCAGUGGGGAAUAUUGGGACAAUGGGGGCAACCCUGAUCCAGCCAUGCCGCGUGUGUGAAGAAGGCCUCGGUUGUAAG
rnacentral:rRNA from 1 species